rnacentral:rRNA from 1 species
AUGGUAUUGAGUAUUUUAAUAUUUAACUUCACAUUCAUUGCUCGUAAUUUCUGGAACAGUGUGAUCGCUUCGUCUGCACACUUAUUUCUACAAAGACCUCCCAGUAUUAUAUUGUAUGUGGAAAUGUCCACCGUUGUUCCACUCUCGUUCAUCUCAUGGAACAUUUUCUUUGCGGCAACAGUUCUCCCAUCAUGA